rnacentral:tRNA from 1 species
CGGGGUGUAGCGCAGCCUGGUAGCGCGCUUCGUUUGGGACGAAGAGGUCGCUGGUUCGAGUCCAGUCUCCCCGA